CAGGUACCUCUUUUUUUUUUUCUUACUCUUGUUCAUAUAAUGCUUAUAUUUUACUCUAUUUCCUGUUUGUUUAAAUACUUAUUAUUUCUUUUUAGACUCUGAAAUAAGCCUGCUUGAUUCUUCUCUUUUGGAUCAUCUCGAUCAAAUCGACAUAUCGGAAUUGGAUAACUAUGUUUUUUCGAGUUCACCUAGUUCUUCGCCCAGUUCUUCACCACCACCGGUUUUAGAGCGAGCUACAGGCAAGAACAUCCGUCUCUCGACCCGCGAGAGACAGGCUUUGCUUUCUGCAAGGGCUUGCCCAGCUUCAUCCACCUCUGCCGGCGCUUCAGCUCCCCAGCGUGCCUCGGGGAAAAACCUGAAUCUAACCGCCCGGGAGAGGGAACAACUGUUCGCGACACACGCUCCCAGUCCCGGCUUCGGAGCUUCAGCUCCCCAGCAUGCCUCGGGGAAAAACCUGAAUCUAACCGCCCGGGAGAGGGAACAACUGUUCGCGGCACACGCUCCCAGUCCCGGCUUCGGAGCUUCAGCUCCCCAGCGUGCCUCGGGGAAAAACCUGAAUCUAACCGCCCGGGAGAGGGAACAACUGUUCGCGGCACACGCUCCCAGUCCCGGCUUCGGAGCUUCUCCUCCUGCAUCGGGGCCAAGACAUCCACAGCCCCUGCCUCGGAGAUCCAAUCUAGGGCAUCUCAGAAGGAGGCGUAGGAGGACCAUUAGGCCACUCAGGACAAGGCAAACACGCAGACAGCGAAACCAGCUCGCCUCCAUCGCUCUUCGAGCUGUAUCACUGUUCGCUGAAUUAGUACAACUCAUCUUAUAAUAAGGUUUUAUUUUAUUUUAUUGUUUUUAUUUUUUAUUUUUCUAUUUCUUUAAAAAAAAAAAAAAAAAUAUAUAUAUAUAUAUAUAUAUUCUUUGUUAAACAAUAAAAAACAAUGGACAACCAGGAACAAGAUAUUCCAG
ensembl:lncRNA